rnacentral:rRNA from 1 species
GACGAACGCUGGCGGCGUGCCUAAUACAUGCAAGUCGAACGCAUUUUCUUUCACCGUAGCUUGCUACACCGACAGAAAAUGAGUGGCGAACGGGUGAGUAACACGCGGGUAACCUGCCCAUCAGCGGGGGAUAACACUUGGAAACAGGUGCUAAUACCGCAUAAUUCCAUUUACCGCAUGGUAAAUGGAUGAAAGGCGCUUUUGCGUCACUGAUGGAUGGACCCGCGGUGCAUUAGCUAGUUGGUGGGGUAACGGCCUACCAAGGCUGCGAUGCAUAGCCGACCUGAGAGGGUGAUCGGCCACACUGGGACUGAGACACGGCCCAGACUCCUACGGGAGGCAGCAGUAGGGAAUCUUCGGCAAUGGACGCAAGUCUGACCGAGCAACGCCGCGUGAGUGAAGAAGGUUUUCGGAUCGUAAAACUCUGUUGUUAGAGAAGAACAAGGAUGAGAGUGGAAAGUUCAUCCCUUGACGGUAUCUAACCAGAAAGCCACGGCUAACUACGUG